rnacentral:ncRNA from 2 species
ACAUUGCACUGGGGGAGUCUUUAAGAGGCUGAGAUAGAACUUUGUUCUAGACCCUUUGAACCUGAACCGGAUCAUGCCGGCGGAGGGAAGUGGAGAUAUUAACUC